AUUGAACGCUGGCGGCAGGCCUAACACAUGCAAGUCGAGCGGAUGAAGGGAGCUUGCUCCUGGAUUCAGCGGCGGACGGGUGAGUAAUGCCUAGGAAUCUGCCUGGUAGUGGGGGAUAACGUCCGGAAACGGGCGCUAAUACCGCAUACGUCCUGAGGGAGAAAGUGGGGGAUCUUCGGACCUCACGCUAUCAGAUGAGCCUAGGUCGGAUUAGCUAGUUGGUGGGGUAAAGGCCUACCAAGGCGACGAUCCGUAACUGGUCUGAGAGGAUGAUCAGCCACACUGGAACUGAGACACGGUCCAGACUCCUACGGGAGGCAGCAGUGGGGAAUAUUGGACAAUGGGCGAAAGCCUGAUCCAGCCAUGCCGCGUGUGUGAAGAAGGUCUUCGGAUCGUAAAGCACUUUAAGUUGGGAGGAAGGGCAGUAAGUUAAUACCUUGCUGUUUUGACGUUACCAACAGAAUAAGCACCGGCUAACUUCGUG
rnacentral:rRNA from 1 species